UACAUAGGGAGCAAGCGUUAUCCGGAUUUAUUGGGUUUAAAGGGUGCGUAGGCGGCAGAUUAAGUUAGAGGUGAAAUUCCGAGGCUCAACCUUGGCACUGCCUCUGAUACUGGUUUGCUAGAGAGUAGUUGCGGUAGGCGGAAUGUAUGGUGUAGCGGUGAAAUGCUUAGAGAUCAUACAGAACACCGAUUGCGAAGGCAGCUUACCAAGCUACUUCUGACGUUGAGGCACGAAAGCGUGGGGAGCAAACAGG
rnacentral:rRNA from 1 species